rnacentral:rRNA from 1 species
UACGAAGGGGGCUAGCGUUGCUCGGAAUCACUGGGCGUAAAGGGUGCGUAGGCGGGUCUUUAAGUCAGGGGUGAAAUCCUGGAGCUCAACUCCAGAACUGCCUUUGAUACUGAGGAUCUUGAGUUCGGGAGAGGUGAGUGGAACUGCGAGUGUAGAGGUGAAAUUCGUAGAUAUUCGCAAGAACACCAGUGGCGAAGGCGGCUCACUGGCCCGGUACUGACGCUGAGGUGCGAAAGCG